AAAGAUCGAACGGGGAGAUUCAUCGUCAGCGAGGCAGGCUUCGCGAGGGUGUACGAUGUUCGUCGGACUUCGGUUCGACGGCACGCCAUCCUCGUGUUUUACGUCUUGUCGCGUCGGCGUGCACUUCUCCCCUUGUAGAACGUCGCGACCCGUUGGGUGUCGGUCUACGGCCCGGGUGGAUGCCUGUCUCGUCGUUUCGGCGAACGAGGCAGAACCCCGGUCGCCCGGCCGGCUGCUCGGCGGUACUCGCACGGUAUAGGGCCGCAAGCAAACGUGCGUCCAGGUCCGUCGCAAGCGCGUUCAGUGUUUCCCGGAGUUACCGACUUUGCGCCGUACCCGGGCCUGAACAGCUGUUGGUUGACGAUGACCUCGGACUGGCUCGGUCGGGUAAGUUUUAAUUUGCCCGAUCAUUAAUACCGGUCGGCGACGCUACUGCUUUGGGUACUCUCAGGACCCGUCUUGAAACACGGACCAAGGAGUCUAACAUGUGCGCGAGUCAUUGGGACUAAUAAGCUAAAGGCGUAAUGAAAGUGAAGAUCGUUCUUGCAACGAUCGAGGGAGGAUAGGCCGCGUCACGAUGCGGCUUCGCACUCCCGGGGCGUCUCGCUCUCAUU
rnacentral:rRNA from 1 species